AUGCACACAAACAAGAGGAAAAGGAAACCUACAGGAGAAACAUUCCCUGGUCUAAAUUGUUUAGUUCUUCACCGUUUCCAAAUUUCAGCUACAUGGACGCCGGUGCUCUAUCCCGGUGAUUUAGGCGAUCCCUAUUUGAGUCCUCGCGCCAAAAUAUUCUGCUCCAUGUCGCAGCUCCAUUCAGAGAAGAAAGAACGCGAUCCAUUGACCACACGCGGAGAAUUUUGCAAGUCCGUAUACACUGUUCGUCAAGUUCAUCGCACCAUCCCAUCAAAAUUGGGAGUGGCGAUGUUGGACAUGGAGAUAACAGGUUACGAAGAAGGACUCAACAAUGAAGAGUUCCAUGAAGACGAAGGUGAUGACUACGACUACUAUGGCGAUCUAUAG
rnacentral:rRNA from 1 species